UCUGGUUGAUCCUGCCAGUGAAUCAUGCUAUUCUUGAAGAUUAAGCCAUGCAUGUGCCAAGUUCAAACGUUAAUAUCGUGAGACUGCGGAAGGCUCAGUAUAUCAGUGAUUAUCUGUUUGAUUGUCUAACCUAUGGAUAACCGUGGGAAAUCUAGAGCUAAUACAUGCAGUUUAUGGUCAGGCUUGCUUGGCCAAGCAUUUAUUAGUUUUAACCAAUUACUGCGCAAGCAGUAAGGUGAAUCUAGAUAACUUUGCUGAUCGCACGGCUUUGCCGGCGACGUUUCAAUUGAGUUUCUGCCCUAUCAAUUUGUUGGUAAGGUAUUGGCUUACCAAGGUUGUAACGGGUAACGGGGAAUCAGGGUUCGAUUCCGGAGAGGGAGCUUGAGAAUCGGCUACCACAUCCAAGGAAGGCAGCAGGCGCGCAAAUUACCAAAUCUAGACAGUAGGAGGUGGUGAAGAGAAGUACUAAGUGGUGGUUAUUUACUACCAGCUUGGAAUGGACGUAAUUUAAGCAAUUCGAUGAGUAACUACUGGAGGGCAAGUCCUGGUGCCAGCAGCCGCGGUAAUUCCAGCUCCAGUGGCGUGAUUUAAAGUUGCUGCGUUUAAAACGCUCGUAGUUGGAUCAAGCGGUGUCAGUUUGUAUUCUGCGGUGAGCAUUUGACUGCUUCAGUCGAUGCUUACCGUAGAUUAAAACGCAAACUGUCACUAUUUAAUCGCAAAUAUGUUAGUUGACCUUUAAUGAGUUGAGUAUCAUAUUUUGCAGAGUUGUGCCUUGAAUAAAACAGAGUGCUCAAAGCAGGCGAACGCUUGAAUGUUGUAGCAUGGAACGAACAAACGUGUAUUCGCACACGUCGUGCGAAACGGAUGUGCUUCUGGUGCGUCUGUUUUGCUGAUGUGUGCAUCACCCGCCAAAGUACGAUUGUUGGUUAUCGUAUUAGGUGAUGAUUAAAAGGAGCGGUUGGGGGCAUUGGUAUUUGGACGCGAGAGGUGAAAUUCAAAGACCGUCCAAGGACUAACAAAUGCGAAGGCAUCUGUCCAGACCGUAUCCAUUAAUCAAGAACGAAAGUGGGAGGUUCGAAGACGAUUAGAUACCGUCGUAGUUCCCACUGUAAACUAUGCCGACUAGGGAUCAGCUUGGUGAUAUUACAAGCACCAAGUUGGUCUCCAAGGGAAACCAUAAGUUUUUCGGUUACGGGGAGAGUAUGGUCGCAAGGCUGAAAUUUAAAGGAAUUGACGGAAGGGCACCACCAGGGGUGGAACCUGCGGCUUAAUUUGACUCAACACGGGGAAACUUACAUGGUCCAGACAUCGAUAGGAUAAACAGACUGAUAGAUCUUUUUUGAUGCGGUGAGUGGUGGUGCAUGGCCGUUCCUAGUUCGUGGAGUGAUCUGUCAGGUUUAUUCCGGUAACGAACGAGAUUACAACCUUCAUUUAAGAGGCAAAAGCAGGUUUCGCGAUUGAUUGUACUUGUACUUUUUUUCGUGUCUCUGUAAGAAGAAUAUUCAAGUUCUCAGUUGGUUGGGCAAUCAGGCAACUGUGAACUCAAUCAUCUGUGGAAUGCGGGUAUUUUCUCUUUUGUCAAGCAGUCAUUGGGUGACCUUUGGCUGACUUAUGGAGGGACUGCUGGUGUUACAAAACCAGAGGAAGUGUGGCGAUAACAGGUCAGUGAUGCCCUUCGAUGUCCAUGGCUGCACGCGCGUUACAAUGAUAACGACAGAAAGUAUCCGUUUCGAGAGAAAUAGGUAAUCUUUAAUCGUUAUCGUGAUGGGGAUUGACCGUUGUAAAUCGGUCAUGAAAUAGGAAUCCCGAGUAUAUGCUAUUUAUUAAAUAGUAUAGAUUUAGUCCCUGCCCUUUGUACACACCGCCCGUCGCUACUACCGAGUGAAUGGUGUCAUGAUGCGCUGGGACCGUACUUUAAAGAGGUGUCAAAACCUUUUUAAAGAUGGAAUCAGCGUAAAAUG
rnacentral:rRNA from 1 species